GCAUAUCAAUAAGCGGAGGAAAAGAAACCAACAGGGAUUGCCCUAGUAACGGCGAGUGAAGCGGCAACAGCUCAAAUUUGAAAUCUGGCCUCGGCCCGAGUUGUAAUUUGCAGAGGAUGCUUCUGGCGCGGUGCCUUCCGAGUUCCCUGGAACGGGACGCCACAGAGGGUGAGAGCCCCGUAUGGUCGGACACCAAGCCUGUGUGAAGCUCCUUCGACGAGUCGAGUAGUUUGGGAAUGCUGCUCUAAAUGGGAGGUAAAUCUCUUCUAAAGCUAAAUACCGGCCAGAGACCGAUAGCGCACAAGUAGAGUGAUCGAAAGAUGAAAAGCACCUUGAAAAGGGGGUUAAAUAGUACGUGAAAUUGUUGAAAGGGAAGCACUUAUGACCAGACUUGGGCCGGGCGGCUCAUCAGGGGUUCUCCCCUGUGCACUCCGCCCGGCACAGGCCAGCAUCGGUUCUCGUGGGGGGAUAAGACCGUCAGGAACGUAGCACCCUCCGGGGUGUGUUAUAGCCUGGCGGACGAUACCCCCGUGGGGACCGAGGUCCGCGCUCCGCAAGGAUGCUGGCGUAAUGGUCAUCAGUGACCCGUCUUGAAACACGGACCAAGGAGUCGUCCAUUAGAGCGAGCGUUUGGGUGUAAAACCCGCACGCGUAAUGAAAGUGAACGCAGGUGAGAGCUUCGGCGCAUCAUCGACCGAUCCUGAUGUUCUCGGAAGGAUUUGAGUAAGAGUUUUAACGGACGGACCCGAAAGACAGUGAACUAUGCUUGUAUAGGGUGAAGCCAGAGGAAACUCUGGUGGAGGCUCGCAGCGGUUCUGACGUGCAAAUCGAUCGUCAAAUAUGAGCAUGGGGGCGAAAGACUAAUCGAACUGUCUAGUAGCUGGUUACCGCCGA
rnacentral:rRNA from 1 species